AGACAGGUUGUUCCCGAUAGACCCCCAAAAAAAGUACUUGAUAUAGUUAAGAAAAGAAAAUCUUACUUGGCGUUGUUCCUCCCCAUCAGUUAAAGCAAUUGGCGAAAGAUUCUGGCGUUGUUCCUCCCCAUCAGUUAAAGCAAAUGUCGAAAGAUUCUGAAGUAGUCUUGUAUCAAGGAAAAAACUGGCAUCAUCAGCUAUGGGUAAAGUCUCUAGCCAACAAUCAAAGCUAGAGCUUUGACAAAACAUGUCAGGUAAGAAGACACAACAAGCAGGUAAAAUGGAUGUUCUUGGGGCUUGAUUAAUGCUCCUGAAAUUCUCUUCCAACUUCUCCUUUUCAAAAUCAAACCUUCUGGAAAGCAUCUGCAUAAGAAAUGAAUACACUUACCACAAUUCUAAAUAAUCCACACAAUGAAAAAGAUAGGAAAAGGUAAGUUACCUUUUCAAAAAAAAGAAAAAAAGAUAGGAAAAGGUAAAAAGCAAACCUGGUACAUCUCCUCCAACUGCUCAACAGGUCUGAUACCAUUUUCAUCAACUUUUGCCAUGACAUAAGAUGACAUAGAAAGACCUUACAAAGAAUCAUAUUCAGUCAGAUAAGAUCCAAAGCAAGUAAAGCAUCCUAUCACCAAGAGUACUGUAUAUUAUGAUCUAAAUUGCUAGAG
rnacentral:lncRNA from 1 species